rnacentral:rRNA from 1 species
UACGGGGGGGGCAAGCGUUGUUCGGAAUUACUGGGCGUAAAGGGCUCGUAGGCGGCCAACUAAGUCAGACGUGAAAUCCCUCGGCUUAACCGGGGAACUGCGUCUGAUACUGGAUGGCUUGAGUUUGGGAGAGGGAUGCGGAAUUCCAGGUGUAGCGGUGAAAUGCGUAGAUAUCGAGAGGAACACCGGUGGCGAAGGCGGGUCUCUGGGCAGUAACUGACGCUGAGGAGCGAAAGCGUGGGGAGCGAACAGG